AAUGGAAUAGGACCCUGUCCUCCUAUUUUCAGUUGGUUUUGGCAGCGCGAGGACUAGGGUAAUGAUUAAUAGGGAUAGUUGGGGGCAUUAAUAUUUAAUUGUCAGAGGUGAAAUUCUUGGAUUUAUGAAAGAUUAACUUCUGCGAAAGCAUCUGCCAAGGAUGUUUUCAUUAAUCAAGAACGAAAGUUAGGGGAUCGAAGACGAUCAGAUACCGUCGUAGUCUUAACCAUAAACGAUGCCGACCAGCGAUUAGGAGACGUUGAAUACAAAACACCACCAUCGGCGCGGUCGUCCUUGGCGCGUUCGUGUUCACGCACGAGCGCGCGAGGGCGGUUUAGCCCGGUGGCACCGGUGAAUGACUCCCUAGCAGCUUGUGAGAA
rnacentral:rRNA from 1 species